AUGAAGGUCAGCGGUGAGAUCCCAGCCCUCCCGGACACGCAUCCUGCAAACCUCGACUGGCCCCUACCUCCGGCCCGGCCACAGGACCCGGACACAGAGGCGGGGAAGCCCCGGCCACGGCCGGCUUCGAGGACACAUACCUGCUGCCUGGGCUCGGGAUUCGCUUGGCUCUGCAGCGGUGCCGGCCGCAGCUCGCGCUCCCGGGGCUCCCCUGUCCGCCCCCCUGCCCCCUCGCGGCUCUGCCGCUCCCUGGGCUCCUCCGCCCACCGCGCUCGGGGGCGCGCGCGCGGUCUCGCUUCGGCGGCUUACCCGGGCUCGCGCCUGCGCCCUCGCCUCCCGCCGUCCGCGCGCGCGCCCCCGGCGGCUGCGGAGCGGCGGCGCGGCUGUCUAGGAAACAGCAGUCUCGGCGGGUCCGGCUGGCGGCUGCAGCCGGGCAGGGGGCGGGGGCUGGGCAGCCACCAGGGUCCGAACGCAGCGCGCCGGCGCCGUGGCGUGGAUAUACCCGGUUUUAACGUGGUUGUAAUUGGCAUAAUAUCCCAUACCAAAAUGUCUUUUGAGAAGAAAUAGAGGUGAACUAUAAAGUGAGAGCCAGUUGCCUCUCUACUCUGCAAUCUAGGAGGAAAAAAGUUUCACCCAAGGACAAAUCAGGUAAGUAUUUGUUAAUUCUUUCUAAUGUUUUGGAACCAUACAUAUAGCCAUGAUUUGUCAACUGUAACCAUAGAUUAUGGGUUUAAAUUAACUAAGAGACAAUAAGGUAGACUCCACAGUAUGGAAGUUCUGUAACCUUUAAUUUAUAGUUCUGUAUAAGAGACAAUAAGGUAGACUCCACAGUAUGGAAGUUCUGUAACUUUUAAUUUAUAGAAGCUGGAGUCUCAUUUCAGAAGCCUGUACGUGUAGAAUCCUGUUCAAUUAUGUAUUAGCUAUAAAAGCAUUACAGACAACAAAGUUCUGUAAACUGGCUAAAUCUAAGUCUGGUCUUUGUGAUUUAAAAAUAAUACGGGUAGAACUAAAGAAGGUUAAGAAAGUUUUGGAGAAUAGGAGUCUGGAAAAUAGUCCAAGUUGUUGAGCUUAGAAAACAAAGCCUCAGAGGUAAUCAUACUUUUCAAGCAGGUAAGAUAUUGUCAUACUGAGAAUGGUACCUGUCCUUUUCCCAUCUCCUUAGGGGAAACACAGCAGGAUAAAUUUACAUUAGAAAAAUCAAAGAUUUUGAAAUUAAGAUGUUUAAGAUUAGAAGGAUUUAUGUUAGGAAAUUGUAGAAUCUGCUUUAUAAAAGGUCUAAGUAGACUGAUCAUCUGCCAAGAAUAGCUUAUACAUCCAUCUAAUCCACUUAUACAUCCAUCUAAUUUUAUGAUGCUAUGGUUGAUUUUGAAAAACACAGUGAUUUAUGUCUAAGGCAGUAGCUAACAUGGUAUAUUUCUAAUGACAGAAUAUGUAAAUUUAUAGAACUUGACUUCAGGAGUAUCAUGGAAAGUUAUAAAGUUAUUUUAUGAGCCCAGAAAUAGUCAUAUAUUUUAUUCAGUUCCAUUGUUGGCCAUGUGACCAUUAUUAACAUGUUUAAUUUUUCUGUUUCACAUAUGAAUAUAUAUUAACACUGACAGAAAUGGAAUUAUGGACUCUUAAUGAAUCACUUUUAUCAAGACUCAAGAGAAGGAUGGGAGGAUAAAUUUAAAGAUGAGUGUGUUCAGGAUUGUUGAGGACUGCUCUCUGAAAUGUGCGAUAAGGUGGCAAUGUCAAACAAUAAGUGGACCACGGUGGGAUAGUCUGAAAAUGGCAUUUGGGAACAAAGACAAGACUGUUCUCAUUUCUUUCCAUUGAUUCCGAGAAACAGGGGAAAGUAAGGACUAAAUAGUUAUAUUGGAAAAUGCACCUUGUGAGUUAAAGGAAAACCAGAUUUUUAUUAAAAAUGAACUGCAGAGAAGUAAAAAAUAAACUUAGGAUAAAAAGAGUUUAUCCUUAGAGA
rnacentral:lncRNA from 1 species